UCGGACGGCCAUAGGGGCGUUGUUCAUCCGUUCCCAUAUUUAAGAUCUGAAUGGAUUUUAAAGGGAAUUUCGAACACGGCAAUUAAGGGCGCUUCCGUACAUGGGUGUACUGCAUUGCGCGGGAAACCAAGUAAGCCGUCCACC
rnacentral:rRNA from 1 species